AAGCAGGCAGAUCCAAUUUUCUGCCCCGAAUACAUUAGCAUGGGAUAAUGGAAUAGGACCCUGUCCUCCUAUUUUCAGUUGGUUUUGGCAGCGCGAGGACUAGGGUAAUGAUUAAUAGGGAUAGUUGGGGGCAUUAAUAUUUAAUUGUCAGAGGUGAAAUUCUUGGAUUUAUGAAAGAUUAACUUCUGCGAAAGCAUCUGCCAAGGAUGUUUUCAUUAAUCAAGAACGAAAGUUAGGGGAUCGAAGACGAUCAGAUACCGUCGUAGUCUUAACCAUAAACGAUGCCGACCAGCGAUUAGGAGACGUUGAAUACAAAACACCACCAUCGGUGCGGUCGUCCUUGGCGUCUCGGUCCUUCACGGGGCCGGGGCGCGGGGGUGGCUUAGCCCGGUGGCACCGGUGAA
rnacentral:rRNA from 1 species